CAAAGAAAUAGAAGAAAAAACAAAUAGUUUUUAAUAUGUUCUUACCCUGACGCUGACGCCAGCCAAAUAAACAGACAACUAGAGAUUUUUCCCACUUCUGCUGAUUCGCCGGAUCACCCCCUCCUGGAAUCAACAAAAUUUUCAGUUCGAUACUGUUACAGAGCCACUCUAACCAUCCCCACCUCCGCUAUUAAAGGUGUAAGUACCAUGAACUGGAUUCAACGCAAGAUUUAUCUGUAUAAUGUUACUUUUGGACUCUACAUGUUGGAUUGGUGGGAGCGUUAUCUCUUCAAUACUCUGAUUAUUGUGUUGAUGUGGUUUAUUUUCUACAACACCUCAAAGUUCAUCAGUGAUUUCUGUAAAAGGCAUUUAUGAGUUUGGUGCAAUGGAGGCACCCCUAUGAUGCAAGGAGAUUGCGCAGUAUAGUUUUGAAUGGAUACGGGAUUCUGGCAUAAUUAUCCAUUUUGUUCUGUGUUAUUUGACCAUGUGUUGUAGAUUUUGGUCUUUUUGUUCACGGUAUUGAAAUUGAUCGAGCUAUUGUGUUUGUACGCUGUUCCACAAAAGCAACUUGUAGCUGUGCAACAGAACCAAUGAUUGAACCAACGGCCCCUACACCGCAAAGGCACCAAAGAUGGAGGUCAACGUUUUCUCGAACCUUACUUCCCAUCAAUUAGUACUCUACGUGGCUUUUUCAAAUAUUUUUUAAUCUAGAAAUGGUUUAUCCCCUUGGA